GUAGGUGGCAAGCGUUGUCCGGAAUUAUUGGGGCGUAAAGCGCGCGCAGGCGGUUCUUUAAGUCUGAUGUGAAAGCCCACGGGCUCAACCGUGGAGGGUCAUUGGAAACUGGAGAACUUGAGUACAGAAGAGGAAAGCGGAAUUCCACGUGUAGCGGUGAAAUGCGUAGAGAUGUGGAGGAACACCAGUGGCGAAGGCGGCUUUCUGGUCUGUAACUGACGCUGAGGCGCGAAAGCGUGGGGAGCAAACAGGAUUAGAUACCCUGGUAGUCCACGCCGUAAACGAUGAGUGCUAAGUGUUAGGGGGUUUCCGCCCCUUAGUGCUGCAGCUAACGCAUUAAGCACUCCGCCUGGGGAGUCCGGCCGCAAAGGCUGA
rnacentral:rRNA from 1 species